ACAGUCAAAUUCCGCUGACAAUACCGGUUCUCGUUCGAUCAUCGAAGUUAAGCAAUGUCGAUCCCGGUUGGUACUUAGAUGAGAGAUCGCUUGGAAAUAUCGGGCACUG